GGAGUCGGCAAGGCAAUCGCUGUAACGCUGGACGUUGCAGAGGAAAGUCCGGGCUCCUUCGGACAGGGCGCCAGGUAACGCCUGGAGGGCGCGAGCCCAUGGAAAGUGCCACAGAAAAUAUACCGCCGGACUGGUCUUCGGACGAGGCCCGGUAAGGGUGAAAAGGUGCGGUAAGAGCGCACCGCGCGGCUGGUAACAGCUCGCGGCACGGCAAACCCCGCCUGGAGCAAGACCAAAUAGGGGAGUGGCAGCACGUCUGCACCGUCGGUUCCGAACGGGCUCCCGGGUAGGUCGCUAGAGGCAGCCGGUGACGGUUGUCCCAGAUGAAUGAUUGCUCUCGACAGAACCCGGCUUACUGCCGGCUCCGACU
rnacentral:RNase_P_RNA from 1 species